rnacentral:rRNA from 1 species
CAGUAGCCACGGUAAUACGUAGGGUGCGAGCGUUAAUCGGAAUUACUGGGCGUAAAGCGUGCGCAGGCGGUUGUGUAAGACAGGUGUGAAAUCCCCGGGCUUAACCUGGGAACUGCGCUUGUGACUGCACAGCUAGAGUAUGGCAGAGGGGGGUGGAAUUCCACGUGUAGCAGUGAAAUGCGUAGAGAUGUGGAGGAACACCGAUGGCGAAGGCAGCCCCCUGGGCCAAUACUGACGCUCAUGCACGAAAGCGUGGGGAGCAAACAGGAUUAGAUACCCCCGUAGUCCCUGUCUCUUAUAC